rnacentral:misc_RNA from 1 species
AGAGAGAGAGAGAGAGAACAGACUCUAAGAGGGGCAGAGACCAGAGAGUUUGCUCGGUUAGAGACAGAGAGAGAGAGUGGAGUGAGGUGGUGGUUUGGGAAGGGUGGCGCGUGAUAACAUGCUCCCCUGGUGCUCAGGAUAAGACGAUAAUCAACCCGAUAAUGCUCAGAUUCAGGCCGAUUGCUCCCAAACCAGCAACCGACGGCUGGAAGCCAGAGAACAAGAACGGUUUGGUUACUAGCGUAAGGACGAAGAGAAAGUAUGUUAGGGUUAAGAAGACAAACGAAUACUACAAAAGAAGAAAAAGGAAAUCAUCAGAUCUAGAAAGAGCUGGUAGAGAAGAUGAU